rnacentral:siRNA from 1 species
UGCCGGCUCAUGAGUACAACAAG